rnacentral:rRNA from 1 species
GACGAACGCUGGCGGCGUGCCUAAUACAUGCAAGUCGAGCGGACAGAAGGGAGCUUGCUCCCGGAAGUUAGCGGCGGACGGGUGAGUAACACGUGGGCAACCUACCCUGUAGAUCGGGAUAACAUCGAGAAAUCGGUGCUAAUACCGGAUAAUCAUUUGAAGUGCAUGCUUCGAAUGUAAAAGAUGGCUCCGGCUAUCACUACGGGAUGGGCCCGCGGCGCAUUAGCUAGUUGGUAAGGUAAUGGCUUACCAAGGCAACGAUGCGUAGCCGACCUGAGAGGGGGACCGGCCACACUGGGACUGAGACACGGCCCAGACUCCUACGGGAGGCAGCAGUAGGGAAUCUUCCGCAAUGGACGAAAGUCUGACGGAGCAACGCCGCGUGAGUGAUGAAGGUUUUCGGAUCGUAAAGCUCUGUUGUUAGGGAAGAACAAGUGCCGUUUGAAUAAGGCGGCACCUUGACGGUACCUAACCAGAGAGCCACGGCUAACUACGUGCCAGCCGCCGCCGUAACAC